GUGUCUUAGGCGGUUCCAGCCGUUAGUCACAGGGCGGCCGGACUACAAUCCCAGCAUACAACGGGAGUGGAGGUGGUGACCUUGAGAGAGGGCCUGUGCUGUGCGCGCCUCGCGGGGCAUGCUGGGAGCAGUAGCAUCUUAGCUGCUUCCGGCCGCUGGUCGCAGGGCUGCGGGACUACAAUCUUCGCAUGAAAUGGAAGAGAGGGUGGUGCGGAUAGCUUGAGGAAGGAACACUACAAGGCCUGUUAGAGAAGAAAGGGUAGAAUCCCGAGAAUGUUUUCCCCACAGUGCUGAUAAGGAGAGACCACUAUCCCAUCUACUGCUACAGCUCUGGAGACAGAGCUCUCCCACCUGUCAUAUAGAACACAAGGACCAAUCUGCAGAGAAAGAGCAUCCAAACCUGAUCCAGUGGACACUGGGGAAAAACUCACCACAGCUGAGUGUGGAAAAACAAGGCCAACACACACAUCUCUGCACAGAUACAUCUCCCAUAAAGAAACUAAAGUGUUAAUUUACAGGGCACUGUUGCAGACCCACUUCAGCUGGAAGCUAGGAACAUGGACAAGGAGCCUCUCUACCACCAAGGGAGAGAGAGGAAUGUGCUCUUGUCCUGGCAUUGCAUCCACAGGAGGGGCAGGAAAUUCUUUGAAGGUCUCGCAUCUGGGGCUCGAUCUCGUGCAGAGGAGCAUUUCCGAAGACACUGGCCGCUCCCACAAUGGCUCCGAAGAACCCAGCGACCAGCGGGUUCAUGAGUUUGUUGGGGCUGUCCACUCGGUACCAGCUGCGCAGGGAUGUCAGGACAAAGAAACAAGUUGCCUGGUUCCAGCCCUGCUUCAGCACGGGGCCUGUGGGGCCCCGGUAAGUCCCGGUGUUCCCGCACAAUCUCCUAACCCUGUGGAAGAAUCCCCUGUACUUGGAUUUGGAGAGGUCUGGCCAUGGAUUAACUUCACCUUGAUGGUCUCCAUGGGACAUAGGACCACCACGGCCUCGGCCACGCUAGCUCACUGGCCGCACCGCUGCCCGCCUUGCUGUUCACCAGUCCCUGGGCAUCCCGCAUCUGGUUGCUGAGGAACGCCUGACGCCGCCUUGUGGAUGAAGCCGCAGAGCAGGGAGCUGAGGCUGCGGCCCAGGCCCAGGCUGCCUUGGCUGCGACUGUGUGCCUGCAGGCCCCAUGCCCGGUAUCCGGUGGAUGCGAGUGCUAGUCCAGCUGCAGCUGCAUCUUCACGAACUCGGUGGGGAACGGGAUGCAGAUUUUUUUUUUCUUUUCCUUCCUUCCUUCCUUCCUUCCAACUUCCUUCCUUCCUUCCCCUUUCUUUCUUUCUUUUUUUUUUUUUUUUUUUUUUGACAGAAUUUUGCUCUUGUCCCCCAGGCUGGAGUGCAGUGGCGCGAUCUUGGCUCACUACAACCUGGAUUCAAGCGAUUCUCCUGCCUCAGCCUCCCGAGUAGCUGGGAUUACAGGCAUGUGCCACCAUUCCCGGCUAAUUUUUUUGUCUUUUUAGUAGAGACGGUGUUUCCCCAUGUUGGUCAGGCUGGUCUCAAACGCCUGACUCAGAUGAUCCGCCCGCCUCGGCCACCCAAAGUGCUGAGAUUACAGGCUUGAACCACCGCGCCUGGCCCUGUGAUGUAGAUUUUGAUGCUGCCAGCCAGGCUGCCUGCCGGGAUCGCCUGCCCUGGAGCAGGAGCAUCAGCCGUGCGUUCCAGGACGCAGGCAUGGCAUGACCGGCAGGAGGCGGAGUGCCCGGCGUCUCUUGGGAUCGGAGCCUCCUGAAUUCCACGCUGGGACCUUAAUUUGGUUUUAACACAAAUAAAGAUCUCACAUAAAGAUAAAA
ensembl:lncRNA LINC02987 long intergenic non-protein coding RNA 2987